rnacentral:rRNA from 1 species
CACGGAGUUAGCCGAUCCUUAUUCUUACGGUACCGUCAGGCUCCUACACGUAGGAGUGUUUCUUCCCGUACAAAAGCAGUUUACAAUCCAUAGGACCGUCAUCCUGCACGCGGCAUGGCUGGUUCAGGCUUGCGCCCAUUGACCAAUAUUCCUCACUGCUGCCUCCCGUAUGAGUCUGGUCCGUGUCUCAGUACCAGUGUGGGGGAUCUCCCUCUCAGGACCCCUACCCAUCGUUGCCUUGGUAAGCCGUUACCUUACCAACUAGCUAAUGGGACGCAUGCUCAUCUUCCACCGUUGUGACUUUAAUCAUAUCCCGAUGCCGGAACAUGAUGCUAUGAGGUAUUAAUCCAAAUUUCUCUGGGCUAUCCCUCUGUGGAAGGCAGAUUGCAUACGCGUUACGCACCGUGCGCCGGUCUCAAUUCCGAAGAACCCCUACCCUCGACUUGCAUGUGUUAAGCCUGCCGCUAGCGUUCAUCCUGACGCCAGGAUCUAAACC